AAGAAGUUCUAUUUUCUUGUGCUUACAGCCUCAGGAACUUCUCUAGCCCUCUUCUCCCCCAAAAUGGCGCGGGUGAAUUUUGAAGGUCCUGACAUUCUUAAGAAGCACGUUCUGCACGCAGCAUACUCAAAUAUGCAGGCCAGGUUUGUGGGUGCAGGUAGCGAGAUGUAUCCUUACCUGUGCACAGGGCCUUCUCCGUGCACAUAAAGAAGUCGCAGGCAGACCGCACCGCAGGCCGCCGUGGAACCCCUUCCAGGCCGCCGGGAUCUGGACCCACAGGCGCUCAGGAGGACAAUGGGGCCCAUUCAGUGGCGGAGCCUUGGCCUCACCUCCUGAGAGCAUGACUGCCCUUUGAGCAGAAAUCAUCCCAGCUGGAGUUUCAAAGAUACCAGGAUCCCCCAAACUCCGCCAGCUGAGAUCACUCAGGUUUUGGCAAAUCCUGCUGCCCUCAGGAGGAAUCCAAGGGCCCGACUGCA